CACUCUGAAUAACCUGCUCUCUGU
rnacentral:miRNA from 1 species